rnacentral:rRNA from 1 species
UACGUAGGGGGCAAGCGUUGUCCGGAAUCAUUGGGCGUAAAGCGCGUGUAGGCGGUUCGAUAAGUCUGCUGUGAAAGUCCAGGGCUCAACCCUGGGAUGCCGGUGGAUACUGUCGGGCUCGAGUCCGGAAGAGGCGAGUGGAAUUCCUGGUGUAGCGGUGAAAUGCGCAGAUAUCAGGAGGAACACCAAUGGCGAAGGCAGCUCGCUGGGACGUGACUGACGCUGAGACGCGAAAGCGUGGGGAGCAAACAGG